GCUGGGCAUGGUGGCACAUGCCUGUAAUCCCAGCUACUCAGGAGGCUGAGGCAGGAGAAUCGCUUGAACCCGGGAGGCAGAGGUUGCAGUGUGCUGAGAUCGCGCCACUGCACUCCAGCCUGGGUGACAGAGUGAGACUCUGUCUCAA
ensembl:misc_RNA Metazoa_SRP Metazoan signal recognition particle RNA